GUAGUAUUCGUGGUAGUAUUUAGUAUUCGUGGUAGUAUGUAGUAUUCGUGGUAGUAUGUAGUAUUAGUGGUAGUAUGUAGUAUUCGUGGUAGUAUGUAGUAUUCGUGGUAGUAUGUAGUAUUAGUGGUAGUAUGUAGUAUUAGUGGUAGUAUGUAGUAUUCGUGGUAGUAUGUAGUAUUAAUGGUAGUAUGUAGUAUUAGUGGUAGUACGUAGUAUUAGUGGUAGUAUGUAGUAUUCGUGGUAGUACGUAGUAUUCGUGGUAGUAUGUAGUAUUCGUGGUAGUAUGUAGUAUUAGUGGUAGUAUGUAGUAUUCGUGGUAGUAUGUAGUAUUCAUGGUAGUAUGUAGUAUUAGUGGUAGUAUGUAGUAUUCGUGGUAGUAUGUAGUAUUAAUGGUAGUAUGUAGUAUUAGUGGUAGUACGUAGUAUUAGUGGUAGUAUGUAGUAUUCGUGGUAGUACGUAGUAUUCGUGGUAGUAUGUAGUAUUCGUGGUAGUACGUAGUAUUCGUGGUAGUAUGUAGUAUUCGUGGUAGUACGUAGUAUUCGUGGUAGUAUGUAGUAUUCGUGGUAGUACGUAGUAUUCGUGGUAGUAUGUAGUAUUCGUGGUAGUAUGUAGUAUUCGUGGUAGUAUGUAGUAUUCGUGGUAGUAUGUAGUAUUCGUGGUAGUAUUUAUAUCCGUCGUACUCUUUUAGUGUGACUUUAUUUGACUCGUCUCGUCUCCGUCGUAAACGUCCCGUUGGACUUGGACCGGGCGGCGUGCGUUUGCUUCGACCGUCUCCAAAUCCCACGAGACGCCGCAGGAAUCUCCCGCCGCGCGUUAAAAGGCGGAGUAAAUACACCCAUCACACAUUAUCCGCUUACAUAUCGAUUUCUGCCGAUAACGCGAGUCGGGUUCCUCUCGGGUUCCUCUCCGCUUCCCCCCGCGUUUCAGUCAGGUGAUGACAAAAAACACAAUGACCUCCGAGCGCCGCUUCAGACUCUGACUUUGGCGGCGGGUUUCGGGUUGAGGUAAAAGCGACAAAGGUGGUAUUGAUGAAACUAAAAUUUAUGUUGUGGAAGAGAUCGGGUGAACGGCAUCCCUCUGGCCGGAGCGGACACCGCGGCACGGACAGAACAACGGGCGCUUUGUCGGGACGGGGGUAAUUUUUGGGUGUGGGUUACAGCGCGGAAUACCUCAGGAGCAGGUGGCGGGGGUUUUAAAGGGGCGCCGGAGCGUGGAGCCCGGGUCCCGAGGACGCCGUGGGACGAGAGGGGAGGGUUAGAGCGAGGGAAAGUACCUCGUCCUCGCCUCAGGGUGGGACGGGACAACGGAGUACUGUGUGAGAGAGAGACAGGUGGGACGCAGAGGGGAGACAGAGAGAGAGAGAGAGAGAGAGAGAGAGACAGGUGGGACGCAGAGGGGAGACAGAGAGAGAGACAGACAGGUGGGACGCAGAGGGGAGACAGAGAGAGAGAGAGAGAGACAGGUGGGACGCAGAGGGGAGAGAGAGAGAGACAGCAAGAGAGAGACAGGUGGGACGUAGAGGGGAGAGAGAGAGACAGGUGGGACGCAGAGGGGAGAGACAGAGAGAGAGAGACAGGUGGGACGUAGAGGGGAGAGACAGAGAGAGAGACAGCAAGAGAGAGACAGGUGGGACGUAGAGGGGAGAGACAGAGAGAGAGAGACAGGUGGGACGCAGUGGGGAGACAGAGAGAGAGAGACAGAGAG
ensembl:lncRNA